CAGCAAACAGGAUAAGCAUUCAGAUUAAAAAUAGAAUAACAAUGUCUUCAUUAAAUUUCUCUAUUAUUCACUAAACUGGUCAAUCAGUAAAUCCAAAUAAUUUCCAACAAAUGGACACAAUGGUCUCUCAGCUAAGGCCAAAUAUCCUCAGAGUUCAGUGUAUGUUCAGUUUUGUUUCAUUUCUUCGACACACAGACAAACACACACACCUCUCUCUGACACACACAUACAAACUUGCUUACAGGAAACAGGGAGUACUUUAUUUCCUGGCAUCCAAUAUCCACUUCUAGGAAUCUGUUCUGUAGGCGUGGCGUACAUCUAUAUUAAAGUACCACGCACUGGAAUCCAGACACACUCUGCUUUGAAGACCGAGACGUUUCAACCGUUGCACCAGUGGAAUCUAAAGGAUGGCCGCUCAACCUGAAAAAGAGAACCCGAUCGAACAGCGAUGGAAUAGGAGGAGGAUCCAGGAAAAUUACAUUAGUGGGGAACAUAUGGUUAUAGAUGAUCUGAAGAGGAGACACCGCAACCAGUACACUGAUAAAGAUGUGGCUGAACCAAAUGAAAUAACUUGGAACAAUGUCAAAGUUCCACAUUAUCCUCGACCUGUAGCGUUCCAUGGUUCAAGAGUAUCUCACAUCACGACUGAAAAAGGUAUGAAAGGGAUUCUGGACUGCAACGGGUUUAAAGGAGGGGUUAGGAAUCUCUUGUGGUGGGGGACAGUGAUUGGUGAAAACGAGAUCACUACUGCAGAGCAGAGGUACCUGGAGGAACUUUUCCCUGGUCGGAGUCCAGAAGAGAGAGAGCGACAGAAGCCUUUCCUGCAUGAAUUCACCACCUCUCCUGAAUUUCAGGAUGUCUCUCGCUAUGGAAACUUCCGGUUCACUUUCUCACUGGCUGAUGUUAUGAACGGGUACAGCACACAAUUCUGUGGAGGGGCACACCCUGUCCUUAGAGUUUAUGAGACUGUAAUCUACAAGCAGGAGGUCAUGUACGUGGUGCUGAUUCAUAGCCGUGAUGUUCAUGAUUAUGAUGGUUACGCAGAGUUGGGGGAUAUUGAUGAGGGUGUGUGUGCUUACAGGGAAGGAGAGAUCAUCUGGCGUGCUCAAGCCAUCUCUGAAACACACAGCUAUAGACUGACUGAAAACAGAGAUGACAAACAAGUUAGCGUAGGAGGUGGGUUUAAGGUAUUCUAUCUGUGGGAUCACGUGAGCCUGGCCUUUCACGUGCCAGAAGGUAAAAUUCUAAAAUUCUCUUUGGAGGCGCUUUUGGGGGCUCUCACUGCGUGUGAUAAUGGAGACAAGGAUCUGAAUGAUCUAAUUGGCAAAGCGAGAGCAGAAGAGAUAGUUCAGGGAAUGAAA
ensembl:lncRNA